GGACUGAAGGGAAGUGAAGGACCUGCUGGACCCCCUGGACCUGCUGGAUCUCCUGGUGAGAGGGGUCUAGCUGGUACUGCUGGACCUGUUGGACCUCCUGGCAGACCAGGCCCUCAGGGGCCUCCUGGACCUUCUGGAGAGAAGGGAGUUCCUGGUGAAAAAGGCCCUAUUGGCCCAGCAGGUCGUGAUGGAGUGCAGGGUCCUGUGGGUCUGCCUGGCCCUGCUGGAUCACCUGGAGUACCAGGAGAGGACGGA